rnacentral:rRNA from 1 species
CCCUAUGGGGUGCAGCAGGCGGAUUGGUAAGUCAGUGGUGAAAUUCUAGUGCUUAACAUUAGACCUGCCAUUGAUACUGUCAGUCUAGAGUAUAGUUGGAGUGGGCGGAAUGUGUCAUGUAGCGGUGAAAUGCUUAGAUAUGACACAGAACACCGAUCGCGAAGGCAGCUCACUAAGCUAAAACUGACGCUCAUGCACGAAAGCGUGGGGAUCAAACA